rnacentral:rRNA from 1 species
AGCGAACGCUGGCGGCAGGCUUAACACAUGCAAGUCGAACGGGCGUAGCAAUACGUCAGUGGCAGACGGGUGAGUAACGCGUGGGAACGUACCUUUUGGUUCGGAACAACCCAGGGAAACUUGGGCUAAUACCGGAUAAGCCCUUACGGGGAAAGAUUUAUCGCCGAAAGAUCGGCCCGCGUCUGAUUAGCUAGUUGGUGUGGUAACGGCGCACCAAGGCGACGAUCAGUAGCUGGUCUGAGAGGAUGAUCAGCCACAUUGGGACUGAGACACGGCCCAAACUCCUACGGGAGGCAGCAGUGGGG